rnacentral:rRNA from 1 species
GACGAACGCUGGCGGCGUGCUUAACACAUGCAAGUCGAACGGAAAGGCCCUGCUUGCAUGGUACUCGAGUGGCGAACGGGUGAGUAACACGUGGGUGAUCUGCCCUGCACUUCGGGAUAAGCCUGGGAAACUGGGUCUAAUACCUGAUAGGAGCCAUUUUUAGUGUGAUGGUUGGAAAGUUUUUUCGGUGUAGGAUGAGCUCGCGGCCUAUCAGCUUGUUGGUGGGGUAAUGGCCUACCAAGGCGGCGACGGGUAGCCGGCCUGAUAGGGUGGACGGCCACAUUGGGACUGAGGUACGGCGCAGACUCGUACGGGAGGCAGCAGUGGGGAAUAUUGCACAAUGGGCGCAAGCCUGAUGCAGAGACGCCGCGUGGGGGAUGACGGCCUUCGGGUUGUAAACUCCUUUCGGUAGGGACGAAGCUUUUUGUGACGGUACCUAGAUAAGAAGCACCGGCUAACUACGUG